GGCGGAGUGGCCGAGUGGUUGAUGGCACCAGUCCUGAAAACUGGAGGCGGUGAUGAGCCGUCCGUGGGUUCAAAUCCCACCUCCGUCGCCA
rnacentral:tRNA from 1 species